AGAGUUUGAUCCUGGCUCAGAACAAACGCUGGCGGCGUGCCUAACACAUGCAAGUCGUACGUGAAAGUUCCGCAAGGAACGAGUAAAGUGGCGAACGGGUGAGUAAUACAUAGGUAAUCUACUUAUAAGUUCGGGAUAACAGUUCGAAAGGAUUGCUAAUACCGGAUAAUGUGCUUAGUCAAAAGAUUAAGUACCAAAGGUGGCCUCUUCACAAUGCUAUCGAUUAUAAAUGAGCCUAUGGACCAUUAGUUAGUUGGCAGGGUAAUAGCCUACCAAGACAAAGAUGGUUAGCUGGUCUGAGAGGAUGCCGGCCACACUGAACUGAAACACGUC
rnacentral:rRNA from 1 species